rnacentral:rRNA from 1 species
CGGGGGAUAACGUUUCGAAAGGAAUGCUAAUACCGCAUAAGACCACGACCACUACGGUGGAAGUGGGAAAAGAUGGCCUCUCCAUGGAAGCUAUCACCUGAGGAUGAGCCUGCGGCCCAUCAGCUUGUUGGUGAGGUAACGGCUCACCAAGGCAUAGACGGGUAGCUGGUCUGAGAGGAUGAUCAGCCACACUGGCACUGAAACACGGGCCAGACUCCUACGGGAGGCAGCAGUGGGGAAUAUUGGACAAUGGGCGCAAGCCUGAUCCAGCCACGCCGCGUGAGUGAUGAAGGCCUUCGGGUUGUAAAGCUCUGUGGGGAGGGACGAAAACGGUGGGGUCUAAUAGGCCCCAGCCUUGACGGUACCUCUUUAGCAAGCACCGGCUAACUCUGUGCCAGCAGCCGCGGUAAGACAGAGGGUGCAAACGUUGCUCGGAAUUACUGGGCGUAAAGCGCGUGUAGGCGGGCUCGAAAGUCGGUUGUGAAAUCCCUGGGCUCAACCCAGGAACUGCAUCCGAAACUUCGAGUCUUGAGUAGUGGAGAGGGAAGCGGAAUUCCAGGUGUAGAGGUGAAAUUCGUAGAUAUCUGGAGGAACACCAGUGGCGAAGGCGGCUUCCGGGACACUUACUGACGCUGAGACGCGAAAGCGUGGGGAGCAAACAGGAUUAGAUCCCCUGGUAGUCCACGCCGUAAACGAUGUGUGCUAGGUGUCGCGGGUAUUGACCCCUGCGGGUGUCGUAGCUAACGCAUUAAGCACUCCGCCUGGGGAGUACGGUCGCAAGGCUAAAACUCAAAGGAAUUGACGGGGGCCCGCACAAGCGGUGGAGCAUGUGGUUUAAUUCGACGCAACGCGCAGAACCUUACCCGGGCUAGACAAACUGAGAACUCGGCAGAAACGCCGGGGUGCUCGCAAGAGAACCUAGGUCCAGGUGCUGCAUGGUUGUCGUCAGCUCGUGCCGUGAGGUGUCGGGUUAAGUCCCAUAACGAGCGCAACCCCUACUUCUAGUUGCCAGCGGAUAAUGCCGGGGACUCUAGAGGAACUGCCAGCGUAAGCUGAGAGGAAGGUGGGGAUGACGUCAAAUCAUCACGGCCCUUACAUCCUGGGCUACACACGUGCUACAAUGGUAGAGACAAUGAGCAGCCAACCGGCGACGGUGAGCUAAUCUUCAAACUCUAUCUCAGUUCGGAUUGGAGUCUGCAACUCGACUCCAUGAAGCUGGAAUCGCUAGUAAUCGCGCAUCAGCCAUGGCGCGGUGAAUACGUUCCCGGGCCUUGU